GAUGAACGCUAGCGGGAGGCCUAAAACAUGCAAGUCGAACGGUAACAGGAUAGCAAUAUCGCUGACGAGUGGCGCACGGGUGCGUAACGCGUACACAAUCUGCCUUAUACUGGAGCAUACCCCCAAGAAAUUGGGACUAAUUCUCCAUAAUAUAUUUGGAUGGCAUCAUUUGAAUAUUAAAACUCCGGUGGUAUAAGAUGAGUGUGCGUCCGAUUAGGUAGUUGGUGAGGUAACGGCUCACCAAGCCGACGAUCGGUAGCUGGUCUGAGAGGACGAUCAGCCACACGGGAACUGAGACACGGGCCCGACUCCUACGGGAGGCAGCAGUAGGGAAUAUUGGACAAUGGGCGCAAGCCUGAUCCAGCCAUACCGCGUGGGUGAAGAAGGCCUUCGGGUUGUAAAGCCCUUUUGUUGGGAAAGAAAUCCUGUCGAUUAAUACUCGGUGGGGAUGACGGUACCCAAAGAAUAAGCACCGGCUAACUUCGUGCCAGCCGCCGCGGUAAAAC
rnacentral:rRNA from 1 species